rnacentral:rRNA from 1 species
AUACGUAGGGGGCAAGCGUUGUCCGGAAUGAUUGGGCGUAAAGGGCGCGUAGGCGGCAUCACAAGUCUGGAGUGAAAUACCCGAUUUCAAGUUGGGUACUGCUUUGGAAACUGUGGAGCUUGAGUGCAGGAGAGGUCAGUGGAAUUCCCAGUGUAGCGGUGAAAUGCGUAGAGAUUGGGAGGAACACCAGUGGCGAAGGCGACUGACGGGAGUGUGUGUGACGUUGAGAUGCGAAAGCCAGGGUAGCGGACGGGAUUAGAUCCCCCGGUAGUCCUGGCCGUAAACGAUGGUUACUAGGUGUGGGAGGUAUCGACCCCUUCCGUGCCGGAGUUACCACAAUAAGUACCCCGCCUGGGGAGUACGGCCGCAAGGCUUAAACUCAAAGGAAUUGACGGGG